rnacentral:rRNA from 1 species
ACGUACACUCCUACGGGAGGCAGCAGUGGGGAAUAUUGGACAAUGGGCGCAAGCCUGAUCCAGCCAUGCCGCGUGAGUGAUGAAGGCCCUAGGGUUGUAAAGCUCUUUCACCGGUGAAGAUAAUGACGGUAACCGGAGAAGAAGCCCCGGCUAACUUCGUGCCAGCAGCCGCGGUAAUACGAAGGGGGCUAGCGUUGUUCGGAUUUACUGGGCGUAAAGCGCACGUAGGCGGACUAUUAAGUCAUGGGUGAAAUCCCGGGGCUCAACCCCGGAACUGCCUUUGAUACUGGUAGUCUUGAGUUCGAGAGAGGUGAGUGGAAUUCCGAGUGUAGAGGUGAAAUUCGUAGAUAUUCGGAGGAACACCAGUGGCGAAGGCGGCUCACUGGCUCGAUACUGACGCUGAGGUGCGAAAGCGUGGGGAGCAAACAGGAUUAGAAACCCGGGUAGUCCCAU